GGGCUUGUAGCUCAUCAGGGAGAGCACUCCUCUUGCAAAGGAGAGGCAGCCGGUUCGAGUCCGGCCAGGUCCA
rnacentral:tRNA from 1 species